rnacentral:SRP_RNA from 1 species
GCGACAGGUAGGGUCGGAGGGCUCGGCCUCCUCUCCUCUACAAACGGUCGUAAUGGUAGGACCAGUAACCUUUGGGGGCGGUGGUUCCACCCUCAGGGCUUAGGGGCGUCGACGUAGAAGUCUCGCCCCGCGGGGGCGUUGGCGCGGCAAGGGUCCGCCCGGAGGGGCGGGCUCCCCGCAUGCUGGGCGAACCGGGUUAGGCCCGGAAGGGAGCGGCCCUAAGUCCAGACACCGCCGUUCGCGGGAUAACGGGAUGGAUGUCGACCACCCGAAAGUUCUGAGGGAAUGGGCCAUCCACCCCAAGGGGGCUGUCGC